UACGAAGGUCCCAAGCGUUGUUCGGAUUUACUGGGCGUAAAGAGUCUGUAGGCGGCGGGGUAAGUCAGAUGUGAAAUCCCCGGGCUUAACCUGGGAACUGCAUUUGAUACUGCUUUGCUAGAGUAUUGGAGGGGAAUCUGGAAUUCUCGGUGUAGCAGUGAAAUGCGUAGAUAUCGAGAGGUACACUAGUGGCGAAGGCGGCCUCCUGGACCAAUACUGACGAUCAGGUACGAAAGCGUGGGGAGCAAACAGG
rnacentral:rRNA from 1 species